rnacentral:rRNA from 1 species
CGAACGCUGGCGGCGUGCCUAACACAUGCAAGUCGAACGAAGCAUUUGGAGCUGAUCUCUUCGGAGUGACGCGCCUUAUGACUUAGUGGCGGACGGGUGAGUAACACGUGAGCAACCUGCCUCUCAGAGUGGAAUAACAGUUGGAAACGGCUGCUAAUACCGCAUAACGUCAUUUUGCCGCAUGACAGAGUGACCAAAGAUUUAUCGCUGAGAGAUGGGCUCGCGUCCGAUUAGGUAGAUGGUGGGGUAACGGCCUACCAUGCCGACGAUCGGUAGCCGGACUGAGAGGUUGAUCGGCCACAUUGGGACUGAGACACGGCCCAGACUCCUACGGGAGGCAGCAGUGGGGGAUAUUGCACAAUGGGCGCAAGCCUGAUGCAGCAACGCCGCGUGCGGGAAGACGGCCUUCGGGUUGUAAACCGCUGUCCUUGGGGAAGAAACAAAUGACGGUACCCAAGAAGGAAGCCACGGCUAACUACGUG